GGUUACGAUCGGUGACAGGUGGUGCAUGGUUGUCGUCAGCUCGUGUCGUGAGAUGUUGGGUUAAGUCCGCAACGAGCGCAACCCCUAUUGUUAGUUGCCAUCAUUCAGUUGGGCACUCUAGCGAGACUGCCGGUAAUAAACCGGAGGAAGGUGGGGAUGACGUCAAAUCAUCAUGCCCCUUAUGACCUGGGCUACACACGUGCUACAAUGGUUGGUACAACGAGUUGCGAGUCGGUGACGGCGAGCUAAUCUCUUAAAGCCAAUCUCAGUUCGGAUUGUAGGCUGCAACUCGCCUACAUGAAGUCGGAAUCGCUAGUAAUCGCGGAUCAGCACGCCGCGGUGAAUACGUUCCCGGGCCUU
rnacentral:rRNA from 1 species